UACGGAGGGGGCUAGCGUUUUUCGGAAUUACUGGGCGUAAAGCGCACGUAGGCGGAUUGUUAAGUCGGGGGUGAAAUCCCGGGGCUCAACCCCGGAACUGCCUUCGAUACUGGCAAUCUAGAGUUCUGGAGAGGUGAGUGGAAUUCCGAGUGUAGAGGUGAAAUUCGUAGAUAUUCGGAGGAACACCAGUGGCGAAGGCGGCUCACUGGCCAGACACUGACGCUGAGGUGCGAAAGCGUGGGGAGCAAACAGG
rnacentral:rRNA from 1 species